AACUUCAUAUACUAUUGUUAUGUUAUUAUCAAAAGAUUGAAUCUACUAGAAACACUAUGAAAACAGCAUCUAGCCUCAGCCGCUCAGAAAGCAUCCGACCCAUUUGUUUUUGGACAUUUGGAAAUUAGGGAUGCAGAGGAAUGUUUUGUCAUAAACCUUGCAUUUUCAAUCUAGUUUUCACAUCAUAUGCAGACACAGGGUAACAUGGUCAACAUGUGACUGUGGGAUCCUUUCAGAAGCUGCCCCGGCUGGCUGCCAGAGCCUUCAGCACAACAACCAAACAGAUGAAGAACAAGGUGCCAGAUCGUCAGAACCUAUUCCAGGGGAGCAUGACAUCAUUAGAACACCUGGGUGAGAAACUAUCCCAAACGAGGAAAACAAGAGGCGGACAACGGCUUGCCAGUCCACAUCAAGGGAGGGACCACUGAUGUCCUUCUCUACCAGCUAACAAUGACCAUCACCCUCCGCAGGCACUGGAUAUUCCUUAUUCUGGAUUCUAAGUGCCUGUCAGCCCAAGGGCAAAUGAGGAAGCCCUGCGAAUGCAUGUGUUUGUUUAAAUCAAUUCCACUUUAUGACCUUCUAAUGUCAUGGGACACUUUAUGUACAGAAUACAGAAAUCUCUCUAUUAUGCCUCUGUUUCAAGGCAAGCCCUAUUUUCCUCUAUCAACCCAUGUGUCAUUUCACUUGAACCUCAAUGAAAUGAUCUAUUCCUGCCACCCUGUGUUCAAUCAGAGAAAUUAGAAGGAACAUUUCACACGGAACAAACUUUGAAAAGAACCCCGUGUUGCAUGGCUUUGGAUGGCAACAGGAGGUGUCACUAUUUGAAUCGGUAACAUCAAAAAGUGUACUGAUGCUAGAAAUAUGAAAAUCAGUUGCAAAAAAAAUACUCCAGCCAAAUACCAAUAGGGUUAUUUAAUUACGAUUCCAUGUAUGUGACAAAAAAAAUGCUGAGAUUUGAGAAAUACAUUUUGGCACACAAUUCAAAAGUCAUCCAGUCAGUCACAAACAGACCCUUUCGUUACUCUGGGUCUUGUUUUGUUUUGUUGGACUGUCUCUAAAUCGAAUCUAUUGAAACAAUUAGAGCCAAGCUUAAGUUUUUCAUGGCCUUUUCUCCUCAUAAGCAACUCAGUAAAUGAAUGCUACAAUUGACAAAAAUAUUAAUUUGUAGAAAUAUUCUAUCACUUUCGUACUCGUAUGUUUAGUUCUCAAAUUCAGUGUAAUUGCUACAUCUAGAGACUUAUUACAGUAAAGUCUUAGAACACCUAAUCAUUCCAGGGUUUUUCUUUAUUUUUUACUAUUUUCUACAUUGUAGAAUGAUAGUGAAGACAUCAAAACUAUGAAAUAACACAUAUGAAAUCAAGUAGUAACCAUAAAAGUGUUAAACAAAUCAAAGCAGCCAUCCUUUGCAUUGACAGAUUUGCACAUGCUUGACAUUCUCUCAACCAGCUUCAUGAGGUAGUCACCUGGAAUGCAAUUUCAAUUAAAAGUACAUUUUUGGAAUUUCUUUCCUUCUAAAUGCGUUUGAGCCAAUUAGUUGUGUUGUGACAAGGUAGGGGGGUAUACAGAAGAUAACCCUAUUUUGUAAAAGACCAAGUCCACAUUAUGGCAAGAACAGCUCAAAUAAUCAAAGAGAAAUGACAGUCCAUCAUUACUUUAUGACAUGAAGGUCAGUCAAUACGGAACAUUUCAAGAACUUUGAAUGUUUCUUCAAG